rnacentral:lncRNA from 1 species
UGGGAAAUAGUUGAAGGCCAGUUUCCAUACCUCAAAUACUUGUCAUUGAACAUGUGUGAGCAUCUAGAAUGUUGGACACUCGAGGGCUCUGGCUUGCCACGCCUAGAGAAACUUCGUCUCUACUUGAUAGGGUGGUUGGACGAGAUGCCUUCGGAAAUUGGAGAAAUAUCAACACUGAAAUCAAUUGAAUUGUCAAGUUGCACGAUGUCAUUGGUAAAGUCUUUGAAAAAGAUAGUAGAUGAACAAGAGGAGUUGCAAGGGGAACUACAUUUUCAUGUUAGUGUUAUGCCAGACUUGGUCGAUUUAAAGCACUAGAGAGCUUAGAAACUCUCAACUUUCGUAUAGAAAGAAACAUUUGUAGCUUGAUGUAAUAUUCAUGUAGUCUGUAUAUGAUGAAUUCAUCAGUAGUUGUUGAGAUAUUAAUGCAGGACAAAGUUCAGGGAAUUGAGUCGUGUGGUGAUCAUAUAUAAUCUUGGAUAUCUCUCUAUUUACUGCUUAUCAGUGGCUUUCUUGCUCCAGCAAUAAAUUAUGUUUUUUUUUUGUUUUUUUUAAUUAAUAAAUUCGUUGAUCACAAAUUUUAUCGUUUCUUUGGGUUUGAUCUCCAAUUCUCAUCCUCCAACUCAGGAUUUCUUUUCUUUUGAUCAAUCCAUUCCGAGUCUUGUUUUUUUUGCAAUUAGUUUUUUGCACGUGCAAUGCACAUGAGACAUUAUUUUUUUUAAAAAUUAAUAUUAUUUUAAGAUAGUAAUUUUUAUAUUUAAAAUUUUAUUAUUUAUUAAUAAUAUAUGACUCGAAAUUUUUAUAUUGUAUGAAUUGAGACGUUCAAAUCAAUAGAGUCCCUAUUCAAUCAAAUUGGGUGAUUUUAUAGUAACUACUUGAAUCUUAAAUUUGUACAUAUUGACCUAAACAUUUAAAUUUUAGAUCGAUGAUGAUGAUGAUGAUGAUGAUGAUGAUGAUGAUAAUAUAUAAGUGAUAUUGAGAUUGUGGUAGCAACUGUGAUUUUAUCAAGCUGUGGACCUGUGGUUGUAGUUCAUACAGAGUAAAAAAUUUGAUGUAGAAAAUUUUAAUUUGCUACACUAAAUUGUACUGGGCAUUUUUUAAUGGCUACGGUAAAAAUUUGAUGUAGAAAAAAAAAUUCUAGUAAUCAGUCCUAUUAUUCAUAUAUUAAUUAAUUUACUUAGUAGUAAUAAUUAUUAUUAUGAUUUUAUUUUUAUUGUCUCAAUUGAAUUAUAAGUUAAUUUUCUUAAUCAUAGUAAUUAUUUGCUAUACUAACAAAAUAUAAAGUUUUAUUCUCGUUCUAUUUUUUUUUUGGGGGGGGUAGAGUUGGGGAGGGGAAGCAGGGGGUUUGAACCCGGGAUCUCACUGUUCACACAGUGGAAGUCGCACCGCUUGAUGUCCCCUUGAGGACUAUUCUUGUUCUAUUAAAUAUACAAUAAUUGCAUGUAUCUAUAAACGCAUAUAUCAACAUAAAUGUAAGGAUAUAAAAUUGGCGAAAGCAGUUCCGACCAACACUAAAAAUACAUAAUGAGAAAGAAGAAACACCAACCUGUAAAUCCCAAUGCUUUUUACUUCCAAUCGGACCCGAAGUUGGAUCCUGACGAGGAAAUCGAAUUGCUUGCAACACUUUUCUUCUUAGUUCAUAUUCUCGACCAGUUUUUAAAAAGGAAACGGCUAUAUUGUAUCAUAUCUAAAUUGAAUUUGAACACGGGAGGAUUUCACAAAAAUGAAAGUAAUUUAAUUUAUAGAUGAAAA